UACGUAGGGGGCAAGCGUUAUCCGGAUUUACUGGGUGUAAAGGGAGCGCAGACGGAACUGCAAGUCUGAUGUGAAAGCCCGGGGCUCAACCGCGGGACUGCAUCGGAUACUGUGGAUCUGGAGUGCCGGAGGGGCAAGCGGAAUUCCUGGUGUAGCGGUGAAAUGCGUAGAUAUCAGGAGGAACACCUGCGGCGAAGGCGGCUUGCUGGACGGCAACUGACGUUGAGGCUCGAAAGCGUGGGGAGCAAACAGGAUUAGAUA
rnacentral:rRNA from 1 species